GCUGCGGAGAGAUUUCUCAAGUUGAGCUUCAGAGGAAGAAGAAGAAGCGGCUGCAAAUCACAACAUGACGUUUAAGCGAAGGAAUGGUGGUCGUAACAAACAUGGUCGUGGUCAUGUUAACUUCAUCCGUUGUUCAAACUGUGGAAAGUGUUGCCCUAAGGAUAAGGCAAUCAAGAGAUUUUUGGUGAGGAACAU